UGUAAUUUGGACUUGAACGAUCUUGGUC
rnacentral:piRNA from 1 species